CCCAGAGAACAUGGAUGACGAGCUCUCGAUCCUGCUGACAGCACCCACCAGCACAGACAAACUCCAGCACAUCUUGGAGGGUGGUAAACCGAGACACAGUUGGGACCUGUCUACACUACAGGUCUGUCGUGCGUUUGUAAUCUGCUGACCCCCACAUGUUGUUCAGAGCCUAUGGACAACACAGCUCCUAAAGAAAACUGACGUCCCUGUUUAGAAGGUAAGAGCCUCUGAGAGGUUUGGAACGUG